UGUCACCAAAGAUAAACAACAGAUGCCCCCAAUUCUAUCAAAUCCGACAUAACAGAAACACCGGCAAUCAACGAUACUUACAGAUCUAGGCUCGCCAAAUUGAAAUAACACAACAAAUCAAGAUCAACGGCCUUGAAAACGAAAAGGCAUGUGAAAAGAAUAUAGGUUUUCUUACCAGGAAUUAAGUAAGAAUAAGCAAAGUUUCCCAGCGGAAAAAAUGUCGAUUAAGGGAAUUUGAUCAGGGAUAACCCAAAUUUCAAUCCAAGGACUUGGAUUUGCGUGUGUUGGAAGAAUACUACUAGUGUGUAUCUGGGGGUCUUGUAAGUUGUAAUGAUGCAAUCUAUAGCAUGGAUCGGAUACCUGUAACAUUAGCAGGCAAAACCCUUUUCCUCCAUUGUAUCCGGUCGAAUUAUGUAAAUUAAAAUUCUUUUUAACUUUUUUUUUCCUAGAAGGAUAAUGAAUUUAUUAGGAUAAUUAUUUUUUUAGUUUGUUUAUAUUUUGAUAAUUUAUUAUUUUUUAUAUAUAUAUAUAUAUAUAGGUAAUGAAUUUUUUGAAAGAAUAUACAAGUUACAACAUGUUAUAAUGGUAAUAUCUAACACUUUCAACAAAUUCGUUACAUAUAUUUAUACAAAAAAAAGUUAUUCAAAUACGAACAAAACGAAAAAGUAAUUACUAAUAAGUCAAUUUUUUUUUAUUUUACCUCCUAAUUUUGAUUAAGUAUAAAAUUUAACCCGAAUGAUAAAUAUUUUUAAAACCAUAAUAUUUUAGUAAAUAUCAUUUUAUAAUAUUUUCAAGGAAGUUUGCUUCGGUCUUGACUUGUUUUUUUUUUUCUAUAACAAAUUGAACAUGCUUUGCAAAUAUGCAAAUCUCGAGUGUUCUGUCUGACACAACUAUAGAUGUGAACAGCUGAUAUGAUGUGGAUGGUGACUGUCAUAUUUAUUGUCGAGUUGGUAUGCACACACGUAUUCCCAAUUUUUGCACGUGUACAUAUUAAAUUUUAAUUUUUAUAUUUAAUAUCUUAAAUAAUAAAAUUAUGAAAUGACGAUAUGUGUUUUUACCGGUUAAAUCAGGAGUUUUUAUUUAUUUAAUUUUUUAUACCAACGUAGUGUAUUUUAAAAAUAUAUUUACCACAUUGGCGUGGUUCUAAAAAUAUUACCAUUUAUGUUAAAUUUUAUAUCAAAUUAAAAUUAAAAUGUAAAAUAAAAAAGAAGGGAAAUUGACUUAUCAUGAUAAUUAUUUUUUCGUUUUGUUCACAUUUGGGUAAUUUUUUUUAUACAACUGGUCCUAGUGAUCAUAUGUGAACACUUCCAAUAAGUUCGUUACCUAGAUGUGUAAAAAAAAUAAAAAUUACUUAAAUAGGAACAAAAUGAAUAGAUAGUUACCCUGAUAAGUUAAUUUCUUGUUUUUAUUAAUAUAAAUAAGUAUAAUGACUUAAUAGAAUAAAAUAUAUAUUUUUUAUUUUGUAUGUAUUUAGUUAUCUUAUUAAUAUAAAUAAGUAUAAUGACUUAAUAGAAUAAAAUAUAUAUUUUUUAUUUUGUAUGUAUUUAGUUAUCGAUUUUUUUCAUAAUUAACUAUUUAAUUUGUUUUUUGUAUACAUUCGUUCUUUAUAACUGACUGCCCCGGUUAAGCCAAAAAAAAAAAAUUAAGUUAAUAAGGUAAUAUAAUUUUCAGUUUGUAUACAUUUAGUCCUUAAUAUUUUUAGCUUAUUUUCUAUUUUAUGUUUUUCUUUAUUCUUGUCUACAUUUUAGAAUCAAUAACUACUAAUUUGAUGCUAUAAAGCCUAAUUUCUAUAGCCACAAGCAUUGGAAGUUGCACACAUCAAAUAUUACAACCAAGCAACAUGCCAUUUCAAAGUGGCUUCUUCAUUUUAGAUUAACUAAAUCUUUUUUUUUUCUUUUUCUGUAAUUACACUUUUUAUUGUCCCGACUAUACAUUGGAAUCUUAAAGUCAUAUUUGUUAUACUUUUAAGUGUGAUUUCUAGGUCUAUAACCUUUUCACAACUAAUUCAUUGGGUUCAAAAAACAUAUAUGUAUCUAUUUAACAUCUCGAAUAUUCAAAUUUAAAAGUGUUAAAAGUACAUAUCCCUUAAGAAUAUUAUGUCCCCGAAAUCACUUGUAGUAUAAGAAAACAAGGUAAUAAAUAUAUCAUCAUUUAUUCUUUGCUCUCUCAAGUAAGGUUUUGUUUAUAAGAAUGUUUCCAUUUCACCUAUAAGCAACCCUUGAAUAAUUAGAACACACUUUGAUGAUUAAAUCUUCAUCAGGAAGGACCUCGUAUAUCAUAAAUCCAUGAGUAAAUAACAUGUACCAUGAUGUCGUAAACAUGUGGCCUAAAAUAUUGUUUAACGUUGUUCUGAAAAAUAAUCUAAGACUUUAUGGACAUAAACUAUAGUUCCUACUUGGUUCACUUGUCCACCAAAACUCUUGUUAUCAUGGUAUUGUAAAACAAAAUAAAGAAAAGUAACAUUGACAAGGAAAAAUGGUUUAUGGUAUUUUUCGUAGGUCACACCUCUGAAAAUAUCCAAAAAUGACUUGUGCAAACAAACAGAUNAAACAGAUAAUUUGUGAAAAUACGACAAACAUAUAAUUUCACAUGCAUGGCUUGCGAAAUUACCAAAAUCCGCCUACGAAAAUAUUGGAAACAAGUAAUUUUGUAGGUACGACCUACAAAAAUAAUAUAAUUUAUCAAUGAAAUUAUUCAUGUUUGAAUUUCAAAAUUAAUAUGUUGCUAGAAACCUAUUUUAGACACUUCAAAUAUGGAUAAACACUUAUUUUCACAGAAAAUAUAUGGAAAGAUGGAUUUUUGCUAUUUUUUAGUGUUUAAUUGUCAAAUCUAUACAAUUUACAAUCUAUACGAAUAUAUAAAAAAAAAAAAAANNNNNNNNNNNNNNNNNNNNNNNNNNNNNNNNNNNNNNNNNNNNNNNNNNNNNNNNNNNNNNNNNNNNNNNNNNNNNNNNNNNNNNNNNNNNNNNNNNNNCAUAAUUUUAUUAUUUAAGAUAUUAAAUAUAAAAAUUAAAAUUUACUAUGUACACGUGCAAAAAUUGGGAAUACGUGUGUGCAUACCAACUCGACAAUAAAUAUGACAGUCACCAUCCAUAUCACAUCAGCUAUUCACAUCUAUAGUUGUGUCACACAGAACACUUGAGAUUUGCAUAUUUGCAAAGCAUGUUCAAUUUGUUAUAGAAAAAAAAACAAGUCAAGACCGGAGCAAACUUCCUUGAAAAUAUUUUAAAAUGAUAUUUACCAAAAUAUUAUGGUUUUAAAAAUAUUUAUCAUUCGGGUUAAAUUUUAUACUUAAUCAAAAUUAGGAGGUAAAAUAAAAAAAAAAGAAAUUGACUUAUUAGUAAUUAUUUUUUCGUUUUGUUCAUAUUUGAAUAACUUUUUUUUUGUUCAUAUUUGAAUAAUUUUUUUUGUACAAAUAUAUGUAACGAAUUUGUUGAAAAUGUUAGAUAUUACCAUUAUAACAUGUUGUAACUUGUAUAUUCUUUCAAAAAAUUCAUUACCUGUAUAUAUAUAAAAAAAAUAAUAAAUUAUCAAAAUAUAAACAAACUAAAAAAAUAAUUAUCCUAAUAAAUUCAUUAUCCUUCUAAGAAAAAAAAAAGUUAAAAAGAAUUUUAAUUUACAUAAUUCGACCGGAUACAAUGGAGGAAAAGGGUUUUGCCUGCUAAUGUUACAGGUAUCCGAUCCAUGCUAUAGAUUGCAUCAUUACAACUUACAAGACCCCCAGAUACACACUAGUAGUAUUCUUCCAACACACGCAAAUCCAAGUCCUUGGAUUGAAAUUUGGGUUAUCCCUGAUCAAAUUCCCUUAAUCGACAUUUUUUCCGCUGGGAAACUUUGCUUAUUCUUACUUAAUUCCUGGUAAGAAAACCUAUAUUCUUUUCACAUGCCUUUUCGUUUUCAAGGCCGUUGAUCUUGAUUUGUUGUGUUAUUUCAAUUUGGCGAGCCUAGAUCUGUAAGUAUCGUUGAUUGCCGGUGUUUCUGUUAUGUCGGAUUUGAUAGAAUUGAGGGCAUCUGUUAUUUAUCUUUGGUGACAUGAAAGAGGUGGGGAGAUCUGUCCAUUCGNNNN
rnacentral:lncRNA from 1 species